AAGUUCCUGCCGGGCCUGGCUGGCAUGUUUGUCCUCUUCCUUUGCACCACAGACCUCUGCUGCAGCCAUGCUCCGCCAGAUCCUCAGUCAGGUCAAGAAGCACCCGAGCUUGAUCCCCCUCUUUGCAUUUAUUGGAACUGGGGGUACUGGAGCCAUACUGUAUCUCAUGCGUCUGGCGAUGUUGAAUCCAGAUGUUAGUUGGGACAGAAAGUAUAACCCAGAGCCGUGGAACAAACUGGGUCCCAAUGGUCAAUACAAGUUCUUCUCAGUGAAUGUGGAUUACAGCAAACUGAAGAAAGAGGGUUCAGAGUUCUGAAUGAAAUGUUUCACUAUAAAGCUGCUUAGAAUGAAGGUCUUCCAGAAGUCAUCCACACAAUUUCCCACUUAACCAGGAAAUUCUUCUCCUCUAAAUGCAAG